ensembl:lncRNA EPIC1 epigenetically induced MYC interacting lncRNA 1
AGAAACGCCCUCACAGACACCCCGGAAGUCACGUACCCACUCUGUAGGUGCCCCGGGGCACAGGCAAGCGGACGAGCCAGUUAUCCCUCAGAGCUCCUGCUGCCUCGCCCGCUUUCUCUCGGAAACGUGAAGUGUGGCCUCAGCUGAAAGUGAGGUGGGCCUCAUUCAAUCAGUUGAAUUCUUCAAGAGAGAAAAACUGAAGUCCCUUAGAAGGAAAGAGUUCUGCCUUCAGACUGUCUUUGAACUUAAGACUGUAGCGUCGACUCCUGCCGGAAUUUCCAGCCUGCUGGCCAGCUCUGCAGAUUCACACUUGCCAGCCUCCACAAUCGCAGCUGAGGCGGAGGAACCCUAAGGGCUCAUUGAGAUCAUGGAUUUGCCCUUCUAUGCAUUGAUGGAGCACCUGCUGCCCACAGCGUCUGUAUUUGGUGCUGGGAUGCUGAGGACACUGAGAUCUUCAAACAGAGGCUGCCACUCUAAGCAAACAGAUCCCGAGCCCUGGACUCUGAAGCUUGGGCCCAGUUCUCCUUUUCUCCGGGUUUCAGAUCCCACUGUGAAGUGAGGGGGCCCUUCUGAUUCAGGACCCGGGGAAGCCAGGGGCAUGAGCAUCGGUGCCUCUUCUCUAUUUCAAGGACCCUUCUGGGUGUAAAGUUCUCUGAGAUGCCUUACAUGGAUUCCCACCACUGCAAGAUAACCAUCGUAUGAGGCUUCAGGCUUGACCAAAUCUGACUGGCUGGCUGCCGGAGACACUGCUACCCAUCGGCCCUUAAUAAAUGGCCUCAUUUGAUCAUCAUGUGAUCUUCAGAAGCUGGGCUUGAUUAUCCUUGCCAAACAAAAUGCUGAAACCAAAAAUCUGAAAGUAAAUCAAAGGUUUCGCCAUCAUGUAAACCCUUGGGCGACAGAGUCUACCUGUCUCCCCCUGAUAUUGUUCUAUGAGAUUUCGAUGCUAUCUUCAUUGCCAGCAGCCCUGACAAAGAUGCACUGCAGACGGAUAGCCUCUCAGGAAGGAUUAUGGAUGAUCCGUUUUACUUGCCUUGAACUCUGGGUGGCUUAGCACACAUUCUUGGAAACAAAGACCCAUGGAUACCCUCAUGAGAUGACCCAGAAAGUCAGGACUUUCCAGAGGGAGAAGGCUGAAGAAACACUGAGCCAUAAAGCUCAGAAGAUCCCAGGCUGCAAAGCCAUCGACUAUCUGAAGGAGGCCGGCCCCCUUUACUGCAGGCACUGCUGGCUCUGAGUGUGUCUGUGCCUGCUGGCUGAUUCCCUGUGUGUCAGACCCGGGACACAUCACCUCGGGGUGAGAAUGUGUAACAUCUUCGUGUGUGGGUGUAGCAGCUGCAGUGGGAACAUGUCUGAAUGACUUUGCACAGUUCUGGAUGGCAAAUAAAUGUUUAAAUAGGUGCA